rnacentral:sRNA from 1 species
UGGAUGGAUGGAUGGGCGGACGGACAGAUGGACAGGCAGUCAGACAGACAAAAGAGAAAGAAGCUUAGAUAUGUCAGAAUCCCAGCCUCAGGAUUCAGAAGAUGAGAAAUCUUUUGGGAAACGAAGCCUAACUGACAUUUCUGCCCUGGGGCACAGGCACUUCUUUGGCUGCAGACCACCUUAGCUGCCUCCUAUUCUCCACGUCCUAAAACUUCACAUGAACGUACGGCAGAGGCCAAGUGAGCCAGUGUGAAAUGAUCUCCCUAAGGCUUGUCACCUAGAUGCACCAACAUUAGCCUUUGGUUUCUGCUUGUCUGAUUUGUUUUUCUUCCCACGUAUUUUGAUUCACUGAUAAUUUUUUUAACUUUUUUUUUUUUUUUUUGCUUUUCUUUUUUCUAACCAUGGCUACAAAUGUACUUGAACACGCUGUACUGGAAAGACUCCUCCACCCCUGUGAGAGACGCAGUUAAAGAGGGCAGAGCCUGUUUCUGGUGGAUUGGCUGUUUAGAUACAUUUAUUCUUCCUUUUCUCCACUAAAGGAAAAUUAUGCGGGGAGGUGGGGGUGGGGCAAGCAUAGCAUAAACAGUGGCAGUUCAAAUCCCACCCCCAAGCUAGGACUCAUUUUCUCCUCUUUGAAGCUCCAAGAUAAACCUCUCAUCUUGACUUCUGUUUUCUGUCAGUUAAUCUGACAUAUGUCACACUGAUUAAAAACAGCCCAGGAGGGUAAAAACAGGACAUCAUGGGGCAGGGAGGUUACUGUUUUUAUCUUGAUAAGUUAAUACGAUAAUAAGAGCUGGACUCGCAGGGAGCAAGGAAAAAAUAUCAGACUGGACAUAGCCAGCAAACCUGAACGGGGCCAUGAGAGGAGAGAGAGGACAGAGAGUGAAAGAGAAAGAAGAGAGAGAGACACGAGAAAGAAGACCAAAAGAGAAUGAAGAGAGCCAAGAAAGCUCAUGGCCAAAAUGGCAGAUAACACAGCGGCUCCCACCGAGGAGACACUCGGCUACUAACACUUGCUAGUUGAAUGAGUGGAUGGAGAGAAACAUUUAAAGGUAUUAUCGGACAAGGAUUCAGGAUGCCAUUGAUCCCAAGUAUAACUGGCUAUCAUUCAACAGCGGCAGUUCCGCCUGGAUGUUCAGUUCUUCCACUCAGUUGUUAACUGCUAGGCAGAUACAUAGCCUCUCCUGUGAGAUUGGGGCACUUCCUGUCAGCAGGGUGGGGUAUGUGUUAGAGUUCUGGGCUGUAAUACAAUAUUAAUACAGAAUUCUGGAGCUUCGGAAGGGACAAAACCAAUGCCCCUAGUCAAGACUGUCUCUGGAAACCAAAGUAGCAUUGCAAACAGUCUCUAGGAGGACAUUUCAUGCUGUCCCAACCAUCUUGCAUAUUUAAAAGUAUUUAUUGAUGCAUAUAUUAAGGCGCUGAUAUAAUUAAGGAAUAAAAAAUAUUUUUGAAAAAUAGAAAUACACUAAAUCUUCUCAAUCAAUUUAGCACAUUUGAAAGAUGUGCAAAAAAAAUAUUCCAGUGUAGGAAAGUUCCGUUAACGUUUUCUUGUCAUCUCAGACUUUCCCAUUUUGGGUCAAAACUAAAGGAAGGAAGGUCUGCGGUAAUUACAGUCUAACCAAGAGAAAAAACGGGCCCCAGAUCAUACAAGGAAGCUUGACCCAAAGAGGAAGAAAGCCUUUGGCUUGGUAAAACUGAACCGCCAGAAUUUAACCGACUGGCCCUCCCUCAAAGCAGGCAGCUCACACGCGCAGGAAACAAAAAGCUAGAGGAGUGCUGGGGGCUAAGAGGCUUUCAGAGGCUCCUGUUGCUAGGAAACCGCUUCCUCCUAGUUCACCGGCAGCUAACCCACGCUAUUCAGAGGUCCCUAGAACAAUCUUUCUUAGGCUUCACCAGCAGUAGGAAGGGGAAAGAACAGAUCUCAAGCUCAGAUGUCAGGGUUGUACAAGCCAAGCUUAGGUUUUUCCAGCAGAUGUCAAAGAGCUAAGGGCACAGGGAUGGAACGAGAAAUAAAUGGGUGUCUUGUUUUUCUGAAGUCAGGAGACUGACUGGUUUCCACCUUCACCUACCUGAGUGUGCCAGCUUCAGACAGCAACGCUGUCUCACGCAACUUUACUAGCAGCUCCUUGAGAUGAGUUUUACAUCUUCAGAUCCUCACAACUCCAACCUUGCUGCUCAUUCGUAGCUGCCCAAAGUCCAGGUAUCGAACCUCUCCAUCCAUUAAGACACACCAGGACCUGCUCGGUUUUGAGUUGGGUGCCCGGAUGGAGAUGAAAAUACAAAGAUGAGAUCUUUCCUUCCUCAGGUCUCCAGAUCUUUUGGAAAAGCUGUCCUCGGAGCAUCCAAGUCAUCCCUCCUUCAGGGCAGCUGUGACUACACAAAAUGGGUCCUCGAGGCUGUCUUUUGAAGUUCCUUCAUAGGAGGAGGAAGGUCAUUAGACCUUUGCCUAAGAUUCUAUCCAUUCCUUCUACACAACCCAUCCAGCUGCACAUGACAGAAUGGGUGUCGGGGAGUUCCUUCUAUACAGCUAUGGGGAAGCCAUCAUACGGGCUGAGGUGAGAUUUGGAGAAGGAUGCAGCUGUUUGGGGGUUACCCAUUCUAUACGUAACCCCUCACACAUGCAAGUAAACCCAAUAAAUUGAUUGGACUUCGAGGGGUGGAAUCAUUACUUUGGUCCAUCGCUAAUCCCCUGUCUUGAUUGAGCAGACCUUUGUUCAAAUCUCCCCCAGGGACGGUUCACAAAACAAAGACCUAUAUAAGGGCACAGUUAGGAUCCAUUUGUCUCCCAGUAGCAGUAGCAAGAAGCAGAGGGGUAGAUGAGGUGGUAAGUUUCAGUUUGGGUUUCUUACAAACAAGGUAACAGUGCAAAAAGACAGGCAGCAGUUGGCGUUACUGCUUUCUGGUUAUAAGAAAGCAAGAUGUCUACCCUUUUCCUCCUUCAUCUUCAACACAUGGGUUCAUCCUUAGGAGGUCCUGACACAGUCCCACCUGGUUGACAAGGAGGAGAAUGUAUGUUCCCUGGAGGCAGCAUUCCAGAACCCUCACUGUAGUAGACGCUAUAGUUAAAGGCUUUCUAAGAACACCAUAAAAUCUAUUUAAGAGUUAUAAAAUUAGGCAUAUCUGGAUAUUCUUUCUUUUUUUCCCCAGUUUAAGCUUACAGAACCUCUUUACCAGGAGCUUGGAACACUCGACGGUGUUAGUUCAUCUCUAACUCCUGUGCUUACUUGAAAGCAGCACUCACCGUGUACUUAACCCUGCUGGCAGCUAAAAGUCAUAAAGUCAUUGGAAGAAACCACCUCUGUGAAAAGAAUCCAUACAGAAACUGUUAUGAAAGUUUAUAUAAAGAUCGGAAAACAUGAUCUUUAAAGAUCAUCACAAGAGUGAUGCCUUUAAAUGGACAUAACAUCAAGUAAGUGAACCCAAUGGCCCUGUCUCUUCAUCCGACACUGAGCAAAGACUCUGCAAACGCUUAGGGAAUGCACAGAUGAAUUACAUAUGUGACCAAACAGACAGAUACCCCUGUAUUUACAACUAAGGCAAACAUUAGAAGCAGGCUUUGGUAAAAUGGACCCCGGCUUGUUGAGUCUUUGAUUCCAUAGCUUGGAGAAAGCCAAGAGCAGUUCGUCCCUUUUGUCUAGUUCUCCUUAGAUCAACAAGCUGAAAUUUUCCACGAUUCCUAUAUACACACUGGAAUCACAAAACUCCAUCUACAGGGUACCAGGCACAAUGCCAGAUGGGAGAGUUUUCUCCUGAGGUAAUUUAACCUCAUCAGCCAUUCCAGCAAGAACAGCGGCAAGCAACUGUCACCCCAGUGCUCUCAGGAGUGCGCAGUAGCCCUGAUGACAGCUAUUGGGCCAUCAUGAAAGAGCUGGGUAUGGCCAAUGGUCCAGCCGCACCACCCAGGACACGAUUACACAUCUUAGCGGUAUUGUAGACUUGUGAAAACUUUCAUAACCUGAUUUCCAUUACUGAAACCAGGAGGAGCCUUUAAGGAGUACAGUAUUAGCACCCCAAGUAACACACAACUGCAGGAAGCUCGGGGCAAUUGUGCAAAGAUCUCAGGCUUAGGUAAGCACUCACAGGAUAGGUGCUAGCAUUUCCUCUCCUGUUUCCAUAGCAACCGCCCUAUACUAGCUUCUCAGAUCCUCCGAUACCAGACAAAGCAGAAACUUUUAAAGGGGUGAAAACACAUGACGUGGUUCACCAGACAGGCAGGAAAGUUUCUUCUUGCCUGAAAAUGCUGUGGCCUCUCAUUUCUGUCUCUUCCUUGGUUCCUAUUUCCCUUCGCAUCCUAGGUCCCUAAGCCUGGAGCUUCAGAUGCCCUCAGGGGCCUGGCAGGAGACAGAGGGACAGCUAGGAAUACAGCAAUACUGAUGUUUUCUUUAAGAACACAAACCUGUUUCCCUUCUUACAGUUUCUGUAGAAACUGGAGCCUGGAAACUGGACUUUUCUUUUUUCAUGAAGAUUUCAAGAUUUUUAUGGUUAGGAACUUCUCUUUUUUAAGACUACAAGCCAAACAAAAAUCUACUGUUAAAUGAACGUGCCAGGGGGGUCAGUCAUGUUAGUAAGGGUCUCUUUUGGGGAUUUCAGAAUUAUUUUCUGUUUCCUGUGUGGCUAUGAGGUCUGUAAACACACAUUUCCUGUACUUAGGAGUUAUGGCCAGGAACUGUUAAUUUGCUAACAGGAAAGCAUUACUUCAGAACGGGCCUUAACACUCUGCUGGGUUUUAUGUCCUCUUUCAACGUUAGUAGGAGGGAUAAAAAGCCAGAGCUGUUCCUUCCCAAGCUGGUUUUUGGCUGAUUGUUUUUUCCUCAAGAAAAGUUUACCAGAGCCAGUGAGCAACUGAGAUGAAUACUGGGGACAGGUUCAGUACUGGGGACAGGUUUAGGACUGGGGGACAGGUUUAAUACUCAAAAUUAAAUGACACCAUGAUUCGAAUGUAUCCUGUGUCAGAUCAAGCAUAUUCAAACUGUUGCCAUAUUUUGACUCAGUUUGAAUUCUAGAGUCCACCUCUUCAGCCAGUUCUUCUCUCUACCUGAUCUAACCAACUGUCUCUCUUCUCCUGUUCAGUAAGUGUUCUUUCUCUCUCUCCUGGACCCUGCUAUAUCUGCCAGGAUACCCACUACUUGGGCAUCUCCCUACUAUAGCCUCCAGAGCCCCCUGCAUGGGCUGCUCUCUACUUAUUAAGACACCUAUCCUCCUCUCUCUCUCUCUCUC